CUGGGGUUCUAGAAAGCUCAAAUAGUAAUUAAAGUAGACGGCUCUGCAGAAUAAAUCAUUUCUAAAAGAGUAAAUAAGUAAGCGCAUUCCUGCUAGUUUGGAAAGCAAAUGCUAUGAUUGGUGCUGGAUCAUUGCUGGAUUCUUUACCUAGAGGUGAAGAAAGAAGGAGACACAGAUUGAUUGUGACUGACCACAGCUGUUUACUGUCCAAAAUGCUCUACAGGGGAGCAUGCUCCCAUCCAUGGGAAGAACAGGCUGCAGCUAAGAAAGGACUUAAUAUUGGCACAGUCAGAAGAACCUGUGGUGUGAGCCCCUGAAGACAGCAGCCACUCAGCAGCUUGGCAGGAGAAGGACACGCAUGCUUAUCUCCAGCAGCACUCAGCAUCAGCUGCAUCAACUUUCCACAGCACACACUGGACAAGUUUCAUUAAGUAUCUUGGUCAUGAUCCUAUGGAAUUUUCUUGGUGAUUUCCAUAAGAACUACAAGCAAAACUUCAUCAUUUGCAAUGGCCCUGUUGCUGUGGAUGAGGCAAAAACAGCUCACUGUGCUAGCCAGCCAAACAAGCACCUGCAUCCUCAGGACAAGCCCAAGUACAACACAGUCACUGUACCUGCAGACCUGCAGGUGCUACAUGUGCAUCUCCCAGCAACUGCCCAAUAUAACAGAACACAGCUCUCAUCAGAAGGAAAUGACAAUUCUUGCCAUAUUUUUUCAAGCUUUUUUUUUCUUUUGUAUGAGUAAACCAGGCACAAAUUCAGCACAGCCAAACACUGAUUUACUGCCACUCUUCUCAUUUUACCACCUUAAUAAAACAUCCAGAAAACGAGAAUGGAUGAAUAUAAAAUUAUUGCUGAUAAUAAAACAGAGUCCAAAGAUGCAUUUUCCCCAUAUUAUUACUCUAUGACAGUCCCA
rnacentral:lncRNA from 1 species